GAACACUACAGAACAUCAUCGCCGCUUUCUCUCCUAUUCUCCCUGUAAACCCUAACCAAAAACUUCAUCGCCGCUUUCAUAUGCCGACCAUGAUUCAUCGCCGCUGAUGCUUUCUGAUUAUCCUCUGCUUUGAUUUCAAUCUUCCGUUUAAGGUGAUUGUCAAUUUCAAUUCAACAACCGAUUAAAGGCUUCCAAUGGAGUCUGCAAAUAUCAGAGAUGUAUUGACGAGAUGUAUUGACUUCCUAAAGUGAGGUCGCUUGAUGGAGAAUGGAAGGUCACGCUUGGAGAGUCAAUAAUAAAAACCAAAGAAAGCUCAUUUAUAGAGCUAAAAGGUUUUAAAGCUGAUCAUUUAACAACGCAAACUGUUUAUGUUAUUAUCUUGAAGCAACCAAAUCUGUUGUGUAAAGGAUUAUGGAUAGGGGUGUAAACGAGUCGGCCAGAGCCUGACUUAAUUGAACUUUAUAUUGAGUCUAAAAUGUGGGGUGAUAGCCAUCGGUAACUAGGAUCUGGUGAGUAUAUUCAGGUGAGUGGGAGAGCUGGACGCCGUGACAAAGAUGAACGUGAUAUUAGUAUUAUAAUGAUUGAUGAACAAAUGAUUACUCUAUAAAGGACAUGGUGCUAGGGAAACGAGCUCCACUGGUCAGUCCUUUUAGCCUAAGCCCUGAGCCAAGUUAUCUACCUUGGGUUGUUAUAGAGUCGAAACAAACCCAAUAGAUGAGGCUGAUUGAAUAAGUGGAUAUUGAGGUUAUGUGGUCCUGCUUGGAUAACAGGAUUCUAUUUGUGAGGGCGCACGUUGAGUUUUGGACUUUGAAGAAUUGAAUCUAUCUUUGAGCAUGAUGUUUUAGAUAGGUAACUCUUUCUAAUGCAGGUACUACUCAAUGUAUAAACAUAUAGAGAGAAGUUAGAUGAAGAAAUAAAAAAAGAGCUGCAUCUUGCAUCUGCUGAAGGGGUUGAAGCCAAAUUAUUGUUGAUUCCAGAAGCACUGAAUGAAGAGGUGCUUGAGAAAAUGACUGCGCCAACAAAGAGCGACGUACCAAUAAUUAUAAGAAAUGAACUCUUUGAAGGGAAAUGUUUUCGGGUUUCCAACAAGAUUCAGUAUGAUGUCUGAUUAUACUUUAAUAUUAUAAUUUUUGAAUUGUAAAAAGGGAGUGCAAGUUAAUCAUAUAAUUUUUCAGUCCAAGAUGAUCUUGAACAAAGUUUUGAACUGUAAAUAAAAAGAGAUAGUUGACAUUGUACUCAUU
rnacentral:lncRNA from 1 species